GAUGAAGAACGUAGCGAAAUGCGAUAAGUAGUGUGAAUUGCAGAAUUCCGUGAAUCAUCUAAUCUUUGAACGCACAUUGCGCCUUCUGGUAUUCCGGAAGGCAUGCCUGUUCGAGAGUCAUUAACAACCGUUUCGAUCCCUUUCUUUCAGAAAUUACAAAGAGGAAAGGGUUUGGUUAUGGUGGAGGAGGGAAAGGGAGCGUUUAGCCUGUAAAAAAAGAGGCUGUGUUCCGCCUCCCCCCCAAAAUUGUACAGGCGGUCGUGUGCGCCCACGCAUCGAGGUGUUGUAAAAGCUGCCACGGCACUUUUCACCUGUGCAGUGCGAGAUUGGCCAGCCGGUUUAAAAACCCCUCCAAACAAUCAAAGGUUGACCUCGGAUCAGGUAGGGAUACCCGCUGAACUUAAGCAUAUCAAUAAGCGGAGGA
rnacentral:misc_RNA from 1 species